rnacentral:lncRNA from 1 species
CAAAGAUGCAUUUUGAAUACCCUGGUCACAUCUUUGGAUCUGUAAAAUACACCUUUUAGUAUGGCACCCUUUAAAAUGCAAAGCAUAUUUGUUCAAGGCAGAAAAACAAUCUCACAGUAGCAAUGUAGACAGGGUUCAUUCAGACACAUCUGUGUAAAUGCAAAAAGUCAUAGCAUUCACCUCUGAGCUGCUUGUUACUGAACCUGCAGUGACUAGUCUCAGCCAGCCCAGGUAAAACAUCAUUCCUUCAGACGUGUUGAAAAUACUGCAAAGUUGGAUGAGUGGAAAUGGGGCUGCCUCCCUCCUCACUUCCUCCUCCCUGAACACAGGAGCUCUCUUAGGGGAUGGCCUCUUCUCUAAGGAACCAUCGUAAGCUUGGUGGGGAUACUGCUGAUGAAAUCCAGGAUCGUUCCAGCAGUUUAAAAAGAAGCCCUAGAGGGAAAGUGACAUAUUUUUGUGCCUAUGAAUGUUGUUGUAUUAAUCCAUCCUUACUGACUGUUUAGGUGAGUUCUCUCUUUGGCAGCAAAUAGAUAGGUUUCUCUUAGGCAGAAUUUGAAGAAAUCAGUGGGUGGAUUUUUCAGUUCAGCUGUAGUUUCAUUCAAAUACAUGACUCUAAAGCUGAUUCAACUUUUAUUUCUAGUUGUGCAUAUUAAAAUGAUCAAUGUCCAAGUAGUAAAGUUUCCAGGGAAACUGACAAGGAUUCACUUCAGUUAGUCUCAUGUGCUGCUACUUGUUUGGGUAAAUCUGAGGGUUAAGUCAACGAUGACCAAACCCAUCUCAUUGAAAGAACUCAUGCUAUGCUUGUGCCGACCUGGGAUGAGUGAGCUGGUUCUAUCCCUGCUGUUUUCACCAUUGGAAUGAAAUUAUGCCAGGAGAGACAUGGUGCUUUCUCAUUGCUGGUGGGUGGGAGAUAGUUCGUGUGUGUGUGCGCUCAUGCAUGUGUAUAAAAAGCACUAAAAAGCGAAUUGAUUUCCAAACUUCUUGUGUAAAAUUUCUCUAACCAAGAAAAGCUGCUUUGACUUAAUUUAUUUGUUAAAUGUUGCACUUUAUGUGUGUUUUGUUUUGAGGGGCAGGUAGUAAGGCAAGAGAAGAGGGUGAAUUCCACUGAAGUAUUUAUUUCAUAAGAAUGACAGGUUUGCAUUCAUUUACAUUUUUAAAGCUUCUUGUUUGAUUUUUUUUUAACAUUGUUGAUAGUGCUCCAGUGCUAUUUGCUGUCUGACAGAAAGAUCCUUGUAGAGCAGGUUUGACAAACCUUAUCAGAUAAUAAAUAACAUAUGCCAUAGAUUAUAACCUUGCUGUUAAUAUGGUUGCCUCUGAUUUUAGAAGCUAAAAUUGAUCCUUAAGAGGAUUGCCAGUUAAUAAACUGUCAUAACCACUGUUGUGGUUAUGCUGUCUUAUGCAACUGUAUAACUCUGUGUUUGGAAAUUGAACAAAGGUGAGGAAUUCUUCCUUUUGGGUUUUCUUGGUAAUAGAUUAUUUUAGAUUCUUUACAAAGUCAUUUUUCCCUGGUCACCCCCUUUCUAAUUCUAAAGGGGUCUUUGACCUGUUCAUGUUUCUAAAAGAAACAUUCACUUGUAGUUCCAUAUUUCUUGACCUCUGUCAGGGAUUCACGAAAUUCAGUUCACUUUUAUUCAUAGAGAAAGUUGGCUUUGAUGUCUCUUAAAGAUGAUUCUGCUAGUUGCUGAUCAGCCAGUCAGUUCACCUAGCUUCAGUCUUUCAGGACCUCUAAACUAACUUUCCUACGCUGUGACUAAAAGGCAGAUCAUUGGAAUGGAUUAUGCAGUAUAAUCAAAUGAAUCCCUAAAUGUUACUUUGCUUAAUAAGGUAAUAUCAGGACGAUAUACUUUAUAGAAUCACUUUUGUUAAAAGCCACAUUUAUGCAAUUUUCACUUUCUUAGACUACCAUUCUUUACAUUUGUACUCCAGAUGUGAAAACUACGUUUGUGAAUGGCUGAGCCUAUGAUGAUAUUUUUUGGUUGUAUGCUGCUUUUUGCUAGAGUGUGUAUGUAUGUGUGUGUGUGUUUCUCCUCUAUGAAUAAUUUUAUAUUUCAAGCUAAUUCUUGAAAGUUUACUCUUUGAUGCUAAAAGGGAAUAACCAGAUGAUUUCUACAGAUAAUCUCUCCCUGCAGGAUGGUGGAUUGUUGAAUCAGAGGAAUGCUGUUUGAGAUAUCAACAUUUAUGGUUGGAGACAAAAAUAUAUUAAUGCCAAGUAGGUUUUUGUCAGUUACUGGAGAAUUCUGUGUAAAUGCAUCAUCUCUUCCAAUGCUGUACAAUUUGCCUUGUGGAAUGGCAGAUAGUAGGGAAAACAAUAAGUGUGGAUUAAGACUUUAAAGGAAAUAGUAUUAUAUGAUUAAGAAAAUUAGAAUUUGUAGAAAUAUUGGGAUAAAUGAAGUAAAAAGGACUGUCUAGAAUGUAGCAUCCAUCUAGAGAGUUUUUGAAGCCCUACUUUCAUGGGGGGAAGUGAUUUUCCUGUCCAAAGGCCAGACUAAGCCAUCUCCAAGACUCACGGGGAGAUUAUCACUUCUUUUUUCCUGGUGGAAUAACUGAAAGCAAAUAAAAAUUCUCAACAGUCUCCUUUUGAAGUGUAUUUUUUAAGCUGGGCAGAAAACAUUUAGACUCUGCCUUUAUGACCCAGUAGGGAAGUUGUUUGUUGGCAGGGGGUAGGAGGUAGGGGACUGGGGUAAGAUUUCAUUUCUAAGUUGUCUCACACUGCAUAUCUUAAGCAAGCUACGGGAACCGUCAUAGUCUAAAAUGCCUUCACUGAACAUUAACAGCUUAGACUUUUUAAAAAAUCCUGAAUAAGGUCAAGGUAACAGCCGAAGGAAGCACCAUUCCGUGAAGUCUACUUACAUAUUUACAAAUCUGUUCAUCAGUUUAAAUAUUUUUCACUGUGUGUGGAUAUAAGGGGAAUAGGGCAAUUCUGUAGAAUUAUCCAUGUCUAGUUUGUAAAGUAUGUUGUGUGUACUGCAGAUGUGUGUUCUCUGGGCUUUAUGUAUUUGUACAGUAGCUUUCAUUAAAAAAAAAAAAAAAACUUGUGGAUGAAUUUGUUUUGGUGGUGUGAGGGGGAGAAUGGCAGUUUGUAUCGAGUUAUGAUGCUGUAAUAUAGUACAUGUAACAAAAGAGCUGGAAGUAACCCUCCCCUGGCCCAUGGACAAUUUUGGUUAUCUUCUAGGUUCUAAAAUGAAGAUCUAUGGAUACUCUGGCAGACUGCAUGUUGUAUAAUUUGAAAAAUACUAAAAGUGGAAAAUAAAAUUGAAUUAAACUUUG